rnacentral:rRNA from 1 species
GCCUAAARGAGGCGUGUCKAACGCSGUAGCGGURCGGAGKGGCAGACGGGUGAGUARCACGUGGGAACGUACSCUUUGGKUSGGAACAACACGGGGAAACUUGUGCKAAUASCGGAUAAGCCCUUACGGGGAARGRUUURUCGCCGAGAGRGGGGCCCGCGUUCGAUUAGGUAGUUGGUGAGGUAAUGGCUCACCAAGCCUGCGAUCGAUAGCUGGUCUGAGAGGAUGAUCAGCCACACUGGGACUGAGACACGGCCCAKACUCCUACGGGAGGCAGCAGUGGGGAAUAUUGGACAAUGGGCGCAAGCCUGAUCCAGCAAUGCCGCGUGAGUGAUGAAGGCCUUAGGGUUGUAAAGCUCUUUCGGCGGGGACGAUGAUGACGGUACCCGCAGAAGAAGCCCCGGCUAACUUCGUGCCAGCAGCCGCGGUAAUACGAAGGGGGCUAGCGUUGUUCGGAAUUACUGGGCGUAAAGGGCGCGUAGGCGGCGAAKCAAGUUAGGCGUGAAAGCCCCGGGCUCAACCUGGGAAUUGCGCUUGAUACUGCUUUGCUUGAGUUCGGGAGAGGUGAGUGGAUUCCCAGUGUAGAGGUGAAAUUCGUAGAKAUUGGGAAGAACACCAGUGGCGARGGCGGCUCACUGGACCGAUACUGACGCUGAGGCGCGAAGCGUGGGGAGCAAACAGGGAUUAAUACCCUGGUAGUCCACGCCGUAACGAUGUGUGCUAGACSCUGGGGAGCAUAGCUCUUCGUGUCGCGCUAACGCAUUAAGCMCACCGCCUGGGG